rnacentral:tRNA from 1 species
GCCUAGGUAGUUCAAUGGUAGAACGCACGACUGAAGUUUCAAGAGAUCGUGUAACAGUGGUUCGAUUCCGCUCCUGGGCA